AGGGUGCGCUCGCCAGGCCUGGGGCGUGGUGUUGUCUGCGCAGGCGCCGUGUGCCCAGGCGCCUGGCGUCCGCGUCGGCGAUCCGGGGUCUGGGCGCGGCGAGGUCUGGUGUGGCAGAUGUGGAUAGCUGGACCCUCCUGGGUGCCUCUGCGUUAUGUCGUUUGGUUGAUGCAUUUGGAGAGAAUCUGUGCUCUCCACAACUGCAGGGGCAACAUGCUUUCCUGGCCUCUUCAGAUCAGGGUGGCUGUUCUUGGGUGCUGCACCAAAACUCCAGCAGUGGGCUUUCUUCAAGUGGCCGGCUCACCUCAUUCCUGCCAAGACCCAGGUCCGUGUUCUCACAGUGCUGCCAUCUUUCCUCCGUGUGAGCGUGGGCUGUGCGGAGAGUGGACCUCGGUGUGUGCGGGGCUGCGUGCACUGCCAUCGCUCCCUCUACACGAGCCGGCGUGGACCCAGGGCUGAGCUGUGACCACGAGGGCCAUCCCGACGAGCCGCCAUGGACCCAGGGCUGAGCUGUGACCAUGAGGGCUAUCCCGACGAGCUGCCGUGGACCCAGGGCUGAGCCGUGACCAUGAGGGCCAUCCCGAAACUGUGAUUGUUUUCUGAAUGUGGAAGCGUCGGCCGAGCGCGGUCCUUGGAGAACCCUUGCUGCGGAGAAUGACGCUCACUCUGCGGCCUGGCCUCGCCUCCCCAUCCCUUCUGCAAACUCACAGGACAGGAUUGAUGGGGAGAGCCCAGGCGAAACGAAGCUGACCCUAGUGACCAGCCCUACUGGCGGCUCUGGAACAGGCCCGGGACCGGUGGCCUGGAGACAGUGGUCCUUUCUGGAUGGGCUGCAGUCUCCGAAGGCUUCCCCCACUGGAGUCAGCCCUUUAGGAGUUUGUCCAGUGCCUCCAGAAAGCUGUUUUUUGGGGGACGGAGGACUUGGCCUGGAAUUCUGGAAUUCCCAGGGGGUCAGACAUGGUUAUGGGAAGUUUAAUAAAACCGGUGAAUCACGUGAAUUCUGCAACAGCUGCACGUGUGACCUGGGCAAUCCGUUUCCCUCCUUUGUGGUCCUGUAGAGCCCUCAGGGUCAUAAAAAGCUGGGAGCCGCUGUG
ensembl:lncRNA SNAI3-AS1 SNAI3 antisense RNA 1